rnacentral:rRNA from 1 species
AGUCUACUACGGGAGGCAGCAGUAGGGAAUAUUGCUCAAUGGGGGAAACCCUGAAGCAGCAACGCCGCGUGGAGGAUGAAGGUUUUCGGAUUGUAAACUCCUUUUGUUAGAGAAGAUAAUGACGGUAUCUAACGAAUAAGCACCGGCUAACUCCGUGCCAGCAGCCGCGGUAAUACGGAGGGUGCAAGCGUUACUCGGAAUCACUGGGCGUAAAGAGCGCGUAGGCAGGAUAGCAAGUCAGAUGUGAAAUCCUAUGGCUUAACCAUAGAACUGCAUUUGAAACCGUUAUUCUCGAGUAUGGGAGA